GCCUGGGUGGCUCAGUCGGUUGAGCGUCCGACUUUGGCUCAGGUCAUGAUCUCGUGGUUUGUGGGUUCGAGCCCCGCGUCGGGCU
rnacentral:tRNA from 1 species